UACGAAGGGGGCUAGCGUUGCUCGGAAUCACUGGGCGUAAAGGGUGCGUAGGCGGGGUUUUAAGUCAGGGGUGAAAUCCCGGGGCUCAACCCCGGAACUGCCUUUGAUACUGGGUGUCUCGAGUCCGGAAGAGGUGAGUGGAAUUCCGAGUGUAGAGGUGAAAUUCGUAGAUAUUCGGAGGAACACCAGUGGCGAAGGCGGCUCACUGGUCCGGUACUGACGCUGAGGUGCGAAAGCGUGGGGAGCAAACAGG
rnacentral:rRNA from 1 species